ACUGUGGCCUUGUCUGCCUGGGGCAGCGAUAUAAUUUGUAGGUUACAUCCUGGAACGCUGAGGAUAUAACUUCGCCAUCAGACUGGAAAGUUGGCGUGUCAAAAAAAGCUCACAAUCUUUUGCUGUCAGGGUCUGGACAAGAUUUUGUGUUGGAAAGAGGGCAUUCUUUCCUCAUGUCUAUACCUUAUCUUAUGUUUUAUUGCCAUGUCCUUAGGAUAUUUGAAGAGUUAAGGUAAUAUUACAAAAAAUAUCCAAUUUAAAUCAAUUCCGUAAAACAAAGCAAUCAUAACAUUUUUGGGUCCAGUUCUGUCAACAAUUCAAAUCCAGUGAAUUAAAAAAAAAAAACUAGUAUGUUUAGGUUUCAGUUUAUCUUAGGCCCUUCAUAUUUUUCAGACCAUUAUAGGACAGGCUGUGUAAGAAUAAAUCAUUCAUUAGAGAUGAGGCUUCUUAUGCCUCGCUUCCCUUUCUUCCCUUGCAUUCCUUGAGAAAUUUGGAUUCGUUAGGAGUGGGGUGGAGAUUGGGAACUUGUACUAUCAGUGAACUCUUCAUAUCCAACAACUUGCCACUAACUUUGAGAACUAGUGACAGUCCAAUCUCCUCAUUUGACAGAUAUAAAAACCUAAAGAGAUAAAUUACAGUGCAUAGAGAAACUUGAUGGUAGUAGAUCAUUAUGGAAAACCAUAAUGUUUGGCAACAGCGGGACACUGUUAUGACCUAAUGCUGGAGGGAACUUAGGUGAAGAUGGCAUCACGAGAGACUAGGAACUGGCAUCACCCAGCAGAAGCUAAAACCACGGUGAGUCUCUUGCACCUUUCCUUGGCCAAACCUAACUGGACACUGGCUGACCAAUGAGCACAGAAAUGUGCUAUUGGAAAAUGUUCAUUAAAAGUAUGAGUCAGCCUUUUUGGUAUGUGAACAAAACAGGGAAAGGGAAAGAGAUGUUUCUAAGGAUAAUCAGCCUAAAAAUUUGGACCCAAUAUGUCUUAUCAUGCUUGUCACCUGGGCCUCACUGAUUUUACGCAGUGUGGCUCUUGCUGUGGAAGAGGCCUUCUGUUCAUUGAUUUCUUUCUUUCCAGUAAGGUAGAAUGAAAAAGGAGGAAAUGAUGAUGACAGCAGCAGUGGUCAAUUAUUGAGCCCAUUAAUACCUUCAGAAUGUGACAAUUUAUUUUGGUCAGUUCACUCUUCUAAGAAGAAAAUUCCUACUACAUCGUAAUAAUCAGGUUGGCCAAAAUGCGAGUGUGACAGUUCAUUGUUAUAGGUGAGAAGCCCCGGAACAGGAAGCUGGAGUGACAUCCUUGAGGUGAUUGCCAUUACAGAAACAGAACAAAUACAAGCUAACAACAGCGUAACAACAUGGUGGCUGUUCUCUGCUGAAAGAUCAGAUAUCAGGAUUCAGGACCAGAGCCAGACUACCUUCUCCAAAAUCUUUAACUGCGUACCCCACUCUAGAGUGUUAUUGCCACUUCUGGGUCAGACCUGUUCAUUGUCUGACAUUCAUCUGGCAAGUGAUCUCACUGAGGAAAGCCUUUCUCUGAAGUUUGAGACACUGAGAAGUAAAGCAGAUAGGUUUAAGAGAAGCCAUGAUCCAUCAGCAGAUUAGCUGUUGUAAUUCACUUGAAACGUUGGUGUGGGGUUAUUGGGGGUGAAGCCAUGUAUGAACCAGUUUGUGAACAGUCAAGUGCUGCCUUUGAAUGUGAAGUUGAUGUCUUCAGCAAGAAAAACACAGUGAGAACAAAAAGAAGCCCUGUCUUCUAUCUGAAAGUUGACAGAAAUUGAAGAUCCCAAGAGUUGCUGCUGCCUGUGGUCAUUUCCCAUCAUUCACUCUAUUUCUUCCCUAAUUAAUUCCCUUUUUCACCCAACUUGAUCUCUUCAACAAUAACUCUUUCCUUUUUAAAAUCUGCUUACUUAAGAGUGAUGUGACCCAAUUUGGGGUGACGAUCUUGAUGGGAGUUUUAUGAACAUCGCUCACUGUAAAUAAAAGACAUGGGAGAAGCAUGGUUUAUAUAACUAGCUUUUAAAAAAAAAAAUGAAGGUUAACUAAUUCUCCCAAAGAUACAUCUACUCAACCAGCCGGGAACUUUUUAAUUUUUAAAAAUAUUGUUGAUCAAAUGCCUUUCUUCAUACAGGAACAGUGAAGGAAACUUUAGUAAACAAAAUGGUUUUAUUUUAUUUUUUCCUCUCUACACUUCUGCUGAUACGAGGAAAAUGUGUACAUUGAAAACAAAAACACCUGAGCUACAAUAGAAGUCUGGGUUGGGGUUCUGCUCUUCAACAGGUGACUUUCAACAAAUCGACACUUCCUAAGCCUCAGUUUCAACAUCUGCGAAGUAGGGAUAAUGGUUCCAUUACCUACACCAGAGAUGAUGAGAGGAAGGAAGGACCUGAAAAUAUUUUGUAAACAGCAAAGUGCUCUCAAAUCAUGAGGUCGCUGUUAAUAGCCUGGAAUUCGUCUCCUAGAGGUACAUCACUGGGGAAAAGAUGACAUUGAUUUUUUUGAGGGUCUGGAGAAAGAUUGCCUCUCAUGCUUUCUUCCAUGUGACUGAACAGAUUGCCCUUGAAAGUGGCCGUUUUAAUGAAAAUUAAAAUGCUCAAUGUGUAUAUAGUGUCAAUUUCAUGAGAGGCACCUUCUGGGUCCACACUGUGAACCGGACGGUAGAGAGGGUCACCAAUCGCACCACCGACAGUGGGCAUCUGCAGGGCCCCCCUCUUCCUCGCCUACUGGGUGGACAGGCACACCACGUUCUGAAGAGGAGUGCAGCCGUCUACUUCACACACGCCUGCCGACAGAACCAAAGUGUCUCCUGCAGCAGGAAUGGAUGGCAGGGACCAGCCAUUGUGGGGAGAAGCAUUUGGACGUGUCACUUCCCAAGAUUUAGUUCCAACUGUCUCGCCCCAGAGGGGAUCUUAGGAAAUUGAGAGGUAAUUGCCUUUGUUUUCGUCUUGAGUAGAUUUUUAUCACCCCCUUUCCUAAAGACUUCUCAGAAAAAAAUAAGAAAAAAAAAAGCCCUUUGCUGCAAAAAAAUAAAAGAUGCCCAUGUAGUAGGUGAGUGUUUCCUGACAGGGAGAUAUUUAGAUUGAAAACAUCCAGUGCAGUCCAGGGACCGCGAGAGGACAGAGCAGCCUCGUUGGUCCGAGCUGUGUGCGUGCUGAGGGUCUGCAGGGACUGUUGGACGGCAGUUUCGGUGAGGAACGCGAAAGUGAGCGAGCCGGCUCUGACAGCACCGCGCAGGGAAGACUCCGAGGGGUGAGCACUUAGUAAGCUGGCCUUGUUGCGGUUUCCGCUAGGACGGUUCCCAUCAGGGCAGCAUCGAACCAGCAGCAGACACUCUCCCUCCUCAUUCAUUACAGCACCGCUCAUGAUGCUGGGAAAACGGAUUUUCCAUUUUUCAUUCUUAAAUAUCACACCACCCCUCUCUAUUCUCUUGCUCCAAAGCUAAGCUUUCUAAAGCCCCGAUGUGCAUGACUAUCCUGACCAACUUCACUUCAACUGCCGGCCACGGCCAUGGGGAAUGCAGCCACAGACACGUCCCGCCUCGCCUGAUGAGCGCUUUCGCUGCUCCGUGACUGUGCUAGAUGCGCACACCUGGCCGACUGUGCGCUGUGGUUUGCAACGAGAACACCCGCGCCAUCGAGACACUGUAAAGAAACAUCCGCUCAAAAUCUCUCCAAAACGCCGGUAACGGGAAACUCCUUCAUCCCUGGUGCAUCAUUUAACAAAAAUGAAAAAAAGAAAAUGGAAGGACUUUGAUUCCAGUGUCUUCAAAGAAAGAUUUCCCACACAGGCACAUGCAUGCACACACACACAGGCACAUGCACGCAUAGGCACACACACACAGGCACAUGCACACACACAGGCACAUGCACACACACACAGGCACAUACA